UAGGAUGUGUCUACGAAAGAAUGGUCUCAUGAAUCUAACUUCUUUAGAUCGCAUUCUCCCAAUCACCUAUUCCUUGGACUUAUCGUUUAAGCAUAUAACAUUUAUAUGAGACGGCUCAAACAAUAAUGUUUGCCCUUGAUAUUAAACUAGAUUAGUUUAACAUGUGAAAUGUCCGUAAAGUAUCAUCAUAUGAUUGGUUUUAGGGCACAUUUCCAACAUCUCC
rnacentral:lncRNA from 1 species